rfam:Phytophthora infestans T30-4 supercont1.202 genomic scaffold, whole genome shotgun sequence.
GUCAGUGUCGUCUAGUGGUUAGGACGCGAGCUUCACACGCUCGAGAUCGAGAGUUCGAUCCCCUCCUCUGAUA